UCGAACGCGAAAGUGGAGCAAUCCAUGAGUAGAGUGGCAAACGGGUGAGUAACGCGUGGGCGACCUACCUCAGAGUGGGGGAUAACCUUCCGAAAGGAGGGCUAAUACCGCAUGACAUCCCGUGUUUGGAUACACGGUGAUCAAAGCCGGGGAUCGCAAGACCUGGCGCUUGGAGAGGGGCCCGCGUCCGAUUAGCUAGUUGGUGAGGUAACGGCUCACCAAGGCUCCGAUCGGUAUCCGGCCUGAGAGGGCGGACGGACACACUGGAACUGAGACACGGUCCAGACUCCUACGGGAGGCAGCAGUGGGGAAUUGUUCACAAUGGGCGCAAGCCUGAUGACGCAACGCCGCGUGGAGGAUGAAGACUUUCGGGUCGUAAACUCCUUUCGACCGAGAUGAAUUCCCCUCGACCUAACACGUCGAGGGGGUGACAGUAUCGAGGGAAGAAGCCCCGGCUAACUCCGUGCCAGCAGCCGCGGUAAUACGGGGGGGGCAAGCGUUGUUCGGAAUUACUGGGCGUAAAGGGUUCGUAGGUGGCUUGCUAAGUCAGACGUGAAAUCCCUCAGCUUAACUGGGGAACUGCGUCUGAUACUGGCGAGCUUGAGUGCAGGAGAGGAACGCGGAAUUCCAGGUGUAGCGGUGAAAUGCGUAGAUAUCUGGAGGAACACCGGUGGCGAAGGCGGCGUUCUGGACUGCAACUGACACUGAUGAACGAAAACCAGGGGAGCAAACGGGAUUAGAUACCCCGGUAGUCCUGGCCCUAAACGAUGAAUGCUUGGUGUGG
rnacentral:rRNA from 1 species